GAGCUGUCAGCACAGAGUCCGAUGCUGGGCUCCAACUCACAAACCAGGAGAUCAUGACCUGAGCCGAAGUCUGACUUCGGCUUGACUGACUGAGCCACCCAGGCACCCCACUAAGACGCAAUCUUAAAAGAUUGUAGGACAGGAAAAAUUUGCCAUUAUGUACGGUGACAGGUAUCAACGCGGCUGAUUUUGGUGAUCAGUUCACAAUGUAUACAAAUAUCAAAUCAUUGUGUGGUGCACGCAGAAUGAAUAUGUCAGUUAGUCCUCAGUGAAAAGAAAAAGUACUGACCCUCUGCUUUAAAGAAGUUCGAGUCGAAUACAGAUUUACGAAUACACAUGUUCGUUCGCAUUAUUCACAACGGCCAACAGGUGGGAAGCGAGCCGCAAGCCACGGGUGGAGAAGUGGGUAAGGAAAACGUGGGGCAUACAUACAGUGCUGUGUGAUGCUGCUUUGGAAACAGACGUCCUCUCCCAUGAGCCACCACGGGUGAAUCUUGAGGACAUUAUCCCAAGCGAAAUAAGCCAGUCCCCAAAAGCACAGCAUGAUUUCACUCACAUGAGGUAUCUACAGUGGUCAGACUCAGAAUCGGCAGGUGGAAGGGUGGUCGCCAGAGGGAGGGACCCGGGAAAGAAGGCCGUUCAGGUGGCAGGAUUCUCGGGUCUACAAGACAAACAGUUCUGACGCCUGCACGCGACAAUGGGAAUAUUCUGGAUGCCCCCGAACUGUAUGUUUAACAUGGUGACGAUGGCAACUUUUAUGUUCUGAAUUUUACCACUGUUUUUAAAAAGGCACUGAAAAAGAAUAACCCUUGCCUGCCUUUCUACCCUUCCCACCUGCCGCUCUAGUCGCCAGACCAGCAUUCCUAACACACACACACACACAGACACACACACACGAAUGUUCUGGCAGCAUGAACACUCUCCACGUCACGUGGAUUUUCUCAGGGUAACAGAAACUGUUGCUGUCCUGCAUCGCCGUCAGACAUUCCAUCGAUUUUCCUAAGCUUGAGGCUGAGGCUAUCUCCGUGAGAAAAACUCCAAGCAUAGAGAGUGGAUUUAGACAUCCACUGCGGCCAUCCAGAGGCGCACUUGAGGGCCGGAAGUGAUCCCGCGGCCACAAGGAUCUUGUUUUGCUCUGUCAAGUUUCUGGAAGGAGAACGCGACAGCUGGUAAGAAAGAAACCAGCAAAAAGCCCUAAAACGGAAGGCGUCGGCAGGGCUCCGUGCGCACACAGAAAGUCAUGUGGCUUGGGUCUUCCUCCAGGCCAUUCAAGAAAAGAAAUAUUUAUUGUUUUUCACGUGGGACGGUGUAAUGUUCCCCUUUGCGGAGUUAGCUUCUUUUCUGUCAAAUUUGGGAUUCUAGCCCAUUUCGACAGGUGCCACUUUUUUUUUGCCUUGUGAAUCCCAAUGACCACGUUGGAGUGUGAAUCAGCGCAGCGUCCUUACAGGUGGAAACACGCGUCCCUCAAUUAACACAGCCCAGCUCUCAGCUGCUACCUGACUUCUUUUGAUGUGUCCAGAAAGCUCUUUGGCUCUGGCCAAUCAGGGCCUCACCUCUGACCAAUCAUCCUCGCCCACCUUCUAUUUAAGGGACAUCCCCAGGGCUCGCCUGUUUCUUAAACUGCAGCCUGAGAAGGCAUGGGGCUGGAGUGGGUCGGGACUGGGGUCUCUGUAUUUUUAGUUUCUGCUUUUCUGUUUCUGCUUUCUUUGAGGGACAGGGAGUUUCCUGCUGCCUGGCUGGGGGAGAGGGAGGCAAGAUAAGUAGGGAACUUUCCUUUCCUUUCUCAGAAUCACAAAUUCUCGCGAAGUCACGAUUUGGGCACCAACAUCCCCUGUUUGUGCUAUAGAGAAAGCCCUGUUUUGUACUGAAGAACUUCCUUGGGCCAAGAAAACGCCAGAAGUGCUAUGUCGGGCCCUGCUCUUUUCUUCUGGGUCUUUGCUUGUUGGUUGAAGGCUGUUGGAAAAUCUGGGCCUGGGAUUAACCAGCUUUGUGGGAUAGAAGCAUUAAUCUUUCACAGGAAGGGCCCUAACUUUUCUGGCACUUUCUACAGAGGCCACCUGCAGGAAGGAGCCUCUUAGACUUGCUGGAGCUUCAUUUCUAAGUUUGGCAUAAUCUGUUAAAAAGGAGCCGUGCUAGCUUCCAUAGGAAGGGUUUCAAGCUACUCUGUGUCCUUAUCUGCCUCGAAAUCUCUACCUACUUUGUUUCAAAAGGCCCAAACAUUUUUUUCAAGAGCGGGGUGACGUUAAAGCUAACGUUCCUGACUGUUGGCUUUUUUAGGUUCUACUUUUUCUGUGUGGUUUCGCCCACCCGGGAGCCCCUUGGGUCCGUCUUGUUGGGACUGGGGACACAGGCCCGGCGUUAAGGAAGGACUUUCCCUGGGACCUAGAACCUAGUCCUUGCUGUUGUCUUUCUCCUGUUGGGCUCUGCCUUUGGCCUUUCAAGCUCCCCUUAUCUGUUCAGCUCUGGGAAGAGUAUACGUGAUUCCCUCCCCCCUCUCCUAGUCCGUAGGUGUUUGAGUCCCGGGCAUUUUUGAGCCGUUUAAAGAAGACCGCAUUUUUGAGCCGUUUAAAGAAGACCGUUCUUGCAAAACAGAAAAAUCACUGGGCUCUUAAGUUAAAUGGCAGCUCAGGUUCCUGGAAGAAGAGCCGGUGGGAAGCUUUGCCUUCAUUCGCAAUCAGAAGGCCCUGGGGCUGGCUGAAGGCUGUUGUGUGCUUUCAAACCUUAAUUCCUUCCAUGAAGGGCCAUUUUUUGAGAGUGCAAGUGGGGGAGGGGCAGAGCGGCAUGGGCAGGCUCUGAGCUGCCAGCGUAAAACCCAGUGUGGGGCUCAAACUCUUGAACCAGGAGAUCAUGACCUGAGCUGAAACUGAUCAACCGACUGAGCCCCCGCCGCCUCCAAGCGCCCCUAUAAAACCUUAAUUUUUGGAAAGCGGUUCAUGUGUCCACCUGACCCUAAUUAUGCUUUCAGGCCUAAAUUUAGGCCUUCCUUUACCUGAGUUCCUGACUUUGUCCUACUUCUCCCAGAUGAAAGGCCAGAAACAAGAUGUUGAAAACUCCGCGUGUCCUAGGCUUUUUUAUACCCCUGUCCUGUUUCUGUCAUCAGUGAUCCACUAACAAGAGCGAUUCGGUCUACCUCCUGGGGUUACUGUGAGCCUGAUCUAGACAUGGGCUCCAAGCUAUCCCUUCUAGAAUCCAGGUGUACUUGGUUAAGCAUUUUGCAUCUAUUCUGCCACUUAAAUGUCGAAACGGAAAGGCCCGGUCGCCCCCUUGGUGUUGGGCUAAAAGUGCAGUUCAGAGAGGUCCAGUCAUAUGUGAACGUAAGAGUUCCAGCGCAAGCUAAGUCUAACUCCAAACCCAAGUCCUGAAGCACAGUACCACGCCAUGAUGUGACCAAAGUAGAAGUCCUAGGGCGCAUAGAAUCUAGGAGGAGACCAAAUCUGCGCUCCUGUGCAGAUCACCCUGUGGGGAGGAGUUAAGAGAUCCAGGCAGAAAGGGGUCAUUAAGCAACCUAAGGAUGUAGGUGGAUUCCCCGAGGACAAAUACGCACGAGUAGCCGUGGGGCAGCUGAGAAAGGGGCCAAAAGUGCAUCCAAUUAACUCCUAAUUUACUGUUGCAACGUCUGUGUUCAACGAUCUCUAAAGUUUGCCCAGGUAUCAGGGUGUAUUCCUUAAACCUAAACACUGUAUAGUAACCAUACUAGAGUUGAAGUUUCAUGAAAAGUGUUGAUAGAAACUAAAACAGUUGUAAACAGGAAUGUGGGGAGGAACUAACGUUAAUUAAAUGCCUACCGUAUGCUAAAAACCCUGAGGGUACUAAUCACCCUUUUCCACAAGGGCACAUACAAGGUGUUCUUAAAGGGCAGGGGUGGUGGCCGGGCAAAGUUGCUGUGCCUUUUCUAACUUAAUUGUGGAGCAGUUUCAGGCUAAUUCCCCACACUAGUCAAGUUGAUCCUGGACUUUUCUGUCCCCCUGGGUAACCUCUUGGCUCACCUAGACAAGCUCUUUUGUAUCCAGACUCCUGCCUCUGGGCUGAAAAUGGGGGAAGUGCCGAAGAAUGGCCUUACAAAGCUGUUAAACCUCUAAGAAGCUUCCUGGAAGAUUUUAAGUGAUGACCCACCCUUUAGCUUCGGAACUACCUCGAGGGCAAGAUGCAUCCUUCUAAAGGUGACCUCGGAGAAAAUACAUGGCACACCUGUCUCCAUUUGCAUCAGGGAAAGGACUGUCGAAGCUCCAUUAGUUUCUUCCUUUGGCUGAUGGGUCUGGCUGCAGACAAGGGUGAGCUUAAGCUGCUCAGCCCGUAAGACUGUUCAAGUUCCACCCACAGGUGGGUGUCUGGUAAGCGUAGUGGUGUUCAGUUGUGAAUGUCAACACCUUUGUGUGGGGCGCGGACCUCUCUGCUCAGCGAUUAGGUCACGGGUCUAUCGUUGGGGUCUUUGCUGUGGUCUCCCCUCACCUUUGUAAACUGUUCCAGGUGAACGGAGAAGUCCUUGUUCUCAGACGCUGUCCUAUUAGAUACUUGAGUGCCCGAUGCCCAAUUAUCCCAGACCUGGUGCCAUUGCCACCAUGUCACUGAAGCCUGCUCGGAUGCUUUUAGAGUGAGGUUCUUGGCCUGCCAGCCCCAGAAUGCCUGGAGACCAUCUGAGGGCAUCUAGCCUGUAUUAAGGUCCCGUGGCUGCUGGGGCACAUGACCACAAACUGGGGGGCUUAAAACAAAUACAUUCUCCCAGUUUGGGAGCCUUAAGUCCAAAACCUGUAUCGGGCAGAAGUUCAGGUGCCCUCGGGCCAUGCUUGUGGCAGGCCCUCCAGGGGUGGGGGUUCCAUGCUGCCAGCACCCUUGGCUUACAUCCAUGUCCUGCAGUCCCUGCCUUGGGUCACAUUGUCACCUGUGUCCCCUGUGUCCCCUCUGCCUGAGACACAGGACAUUGAGGCCCACCUGGGUGACCUGUCCAUCUUCAGUCUCUGUCCUAGCUCCGUCUUAGCCACUUAAUGUUCCCAGGCCCAGGGAUUAGGUCACGGGUAUAUCUUUAGGGGCCACGACUCACCUAUCACACCUUGCAUCAUAAAGGCCAAUCUAUAACUUAGUCCAAGGGUCCUGCCACCUUCUCUUGCCCCUGGUGGUAGGUAGGGGAGUCAGGGGUGUUGGUCCCAGUGCUAAACAAGAGGGUCAACCCCAGCCAUGUGGCAUGGAUGUGCUGAGGGAUUCUGGGGACCUGUGUAUGUGAAAAUGAGGGGUCCUUGAGGAGCCAGGCCUUCCAGGGCUGUAUGAAGCACGAAGGCACCCCAAAGAAUCUGGACAGUGGCCCCUGACAAGCCAGUCAGGUGUUUGUCAUAACCCCUGGGGUUGGGGGAUGGUGUAUAUAUUGGAACAGUAUCUGCAAAAGGUAAUUUGGGGUGGAAAGAAUAAAGGAGUUCUCAUAAAAUACCGGGCAAGGUAUGGUGCAAUAUAAAGCCCAGGGAUGGCCCCUCAGUACCAUGAGGGUGCUGACUACCUCACCUGCUGGGCCUUGGUGGUCCCCGGCCUCCACAGACACGCUGGCCGAGACACUUUUCACUCUGGAUCAGUGGGGCAGACGGACCCCUUGGCAGCCGUUACUCUGAUGCAGGAUCUAGGAGAAUAGCACGAGCACCGUUGUUUUCAUGCCGGACGACAGAAACGAGGCUGCUGGCUCACGGGCAAGGGCGCUGCAAGAUUGGGCUUCAGAGCCGUGGACACACAAGGUCUCUGCAGGUGCGCAAGGAACGAAAGGAAAGGUCUAAGGCUAAACACAAACAACCCAGAGGCUUUCAGAAUUGAAGCAGUGAAUAAAUCCAAGUCGUGUCAUCUCUCAAGUGUUGAAAGAAGGAUUUGCACGGUUGUCCCGAAAAUGCCCUAAGAGUGAAAGCUUAAUUAUGAAGAGUUGACUUUUAUGAGAGGCUACAGAGGUCCUUGUGGGUUGAGGGAGGGCUUUUCUCUCAGAUACUAUGUUGCAUCUCCGUGUGGGACCCCUGCAUCUCUAUCCCCAUGUUCACAGGGUUGGAACCGGUGAUGCCCCAUAACUAGAGUGUGGUCUCUACACAUGGUCCCUAGCCACUACCUCCUGACUUUGUCUCAAUCUCCCGGAAUAACCUGUGGCCCCUAGGCUCUUCUGGUUCCAGCCCCUCCCACCCAUGACUGGAAAGUCUCCUGGACAGUGGUGCAGGGUGAUCUUUGAUGAAUGUGCUCCCAGCUCUCCAGGGGCUCCUCAGAGUAGAUCUCUUGGGCAUUAAAAGUCCUUCCUGCUAAACAGACUCCAUGUUUCUCUUCAUGCUUCUUCCUGGGUCUGGAGGUCAUCUGGUCAGCCGGAAGACCUUCCAAUCCUCUUUCAACCCGCAGGUGAGUUAGCCCUGCCUGCAAGAAGCCUUCCCUGGCCUUGCCUCUCCUCUCCCAGCCUCUGGUUAGGCCCUCUGUUUGCUGAGUGUCUAGAGCCUCUUGUAAGGUCAAUCACUGAGUUGGCUGAUUUUCAGUCUACUAGCUCUCUUAAACAGAACUUCCUUGAACCAUGAUCUUAUGGGGAAAUACACCUGAAACCUGGGGUUCCUGCAGCCCCCCCAGACUGACCACAGCCCCACUUAGUGGUGCUGGUGCUCCGCCACAACCACGGCUCAUGCCGGGCAAUCUGUUACCACUAAUUGAAGAUGGGCUCCAAGAAAACCACAUCAACAGGAAGCUCCUUAAACUCCUGGGGGGCAGCCUGUCUAACAUGGCCGCCUUCAUGUGCUGUCCUCCAUCUGGAUGCCUGGCACAUCAUGGGCUCCCAUAGUGUCACUUAAUACAUGUGUGAAAGAUGAAUAGAUCUACAAGGAGAACAACGGUGGGGAGGGAUACCAGAAAAGGCUCAAAUAAAAGCGGUGGGGGCUUGAGGCUGUGGUCGGACGGGGAAGUCCCCAAAAUGUCCACUGCCCCAAUUGCCGUUGAGUCCCUUGCUCUUGAACGAAGGUCGUGGGGGAAAUCUGAGCGCUAGAAGCAUGAGCCCGCUGGUUGAGGUUGACCAAAAAAAAACCUGGAUGGAAUUAUUUCCAAGUGCCUAGCCUGCUGUGUCUGCAGCAAGCCCUGGCCUCGAGGGUUCGGGAUCCCGCAGAUGCUGCAAAUAGUAUUUCUGGCCCCCGCUGAAGCCCUUAUUCAGCUUCACACCAUUCUUGCUCUGCUGGAGGUUCAGAUCCACGAGCCGCAGGAAGUGUGGCAGAGACCAAGAAAUCCAAACUAGUGGCCCCGGGGCAGUUGGUGGCACCCCAUGUUGUCCAGCCCGAUUUUUAAAGAUGAUCUGGAGUGACAUCCAGUGGAAAGGAACGGGAUGAAAGCAGGGAAGGUUAAUUUGUUAUCGGAGGGAUCAUUCAGCUGACACGUGGUUAGACUUAAAGCACAUCAUCAGAAGCUGCUUUCCAGUCCAAGUAACAGCUGGUGCACCAAGUAGAACUUCCGGGUGGCAACAUGUGCACUCCUACUGAAUUUGGACACCAGGUGUCAUGAUACCCACACAAGAUAGGGAGCUGGUACGCUGUCCAUUUGGUUCAGGUGAGUAUACGUGAGCCGUGUGCCCCUUGACCCAUUGGGGAGGUCCUAGGGGCAAGUGCCAGCCCCAGAGAUGGUCACUGCCCAUGCCCUGUAACAGGUAAGCUGCCUCAGCCUUUCUUGGGAAGAGAGCAGUGAAUAAAAAAUAUUUUCAAGGUGCUUAAAUACUAUGGGGGGUGGGGGGACCCCCUGGCUGUUUCCGUGGAUAUAGCAUGUGACUCUUGAUCUCGGGGUCAUGAAUUCAAGCCCUAUGUUAGGUGCACAGUUGGCUUAAAUAACAAUACAGGCAAAAUGGUAACCAUUCAUGCUAAAUGUCUGUGUGCUUAAUCUGGUUUUCUAUAGUAGGGAACAAAUCUAGUAAACAGAUUAUAGAGCAGAGGAUUUUAGGUGUUAAUACUUGUCAAUAAAUGUGGGACAUCAAGGUAUGAAUGGUGUUGUGAAGGUAAGAGGGCAGAAUAGCCUGCAGGUUAAGAUACUCAAGGGACAGUUCUGGUAAGAAGUCGAUCUUGAACCCUCCUCUUGAAGUAAGGUGUGCCCAGGAACUUGGAGGCCGGAGAGCCUCAAGUAUGGGAGGACAAAGUGGUAAAACUUGGACAGCAGGAGCAUCAGGAGGUAAAUCCUUAGAAGUUGAUCUUGAAAACACGGAGAUGUACUUGAAGGCGCGUGCACACCUACAACACCACUACAUGAUGCUUAACUAAUGGCUGACCUACAAAAGAUCUGAAUAAAUGAAGGAAUAAAUGGUUUGUAUUCAUAAUUGAAGCAAAUUCAGUAGCCAUCCCUAGAACAGUGUCUCCGGGUAGAAUGGUCACAUGAACUUGCUUAAACACCUGUUCCAUCUCAGAGCUUCAGAGCAUACAAUGGAUCUGAUAAAAGCUCUUUCUCUAGGGUCUGGGGGCAUGGAUGGAGGCUCCGAGGGACCCUGGGAAUAUAGGAGCUCAAGCUUGCUUGUCUUCCUUGAAGAAAUCGUUUAGGUCAUUGGUAACUAUCCUUGUGUACCAGAAGACACUUGAGGUCCAGCAUUUCUAGAAGAUGUCUCUGGAUGACUCCUAAGUCUAAAAUCUGUGUCUCCAGUAUGAACAACAAAUUAAAAUACAAGAGGUUCUUUUUUUAAGUGGAACGAACUAAGCUUGGGAAAUGCUAUGCCAACUGAUGGACUUGACUUUAGCUCAUUGGGAAGCUGUCCCAAUGCACUGCUCAUACAUCCUGAUCUAGAUGCUCUAGUGUGGUCCCCUCUUGCCGACUAUGGGCUGGCCCAGUCCUGAAGAACCAGGAGGAUAUUGGAAAAGUGACAGAAGAUGGAAAAAGACAUCAAAUUUCUGUUAACUCACUCUGGUGGGAGCCCCCUGACCCCAUGUAAGAGGCUGUCCAUGAAGAGAUUGUCCAGAAGACGGUAGGCUCCCACCAGCCACAUAAAGAAACCUUCCCCACACCCCCCCCCCCAAGCUACUGCAGCUGUCAUAGCCUGGGGCCAGACGUGCAAGAGGGGCCAUCUUGACUGUCAUGCCCAGUGACAAUAUUUAGGUGUCUGAAACCACAGCCAGUGUGUAACUGCACCCUCUUGAGGGACCCAAGAUCAGAAGCUCUCUACUAAACCUCUACCAACAGAACUAGAGUAUUACAGUAAGUUCAUAAACAGAUAAGAAAGCCUUGGGUUAAUUGAAACAAGGUACAAAACAUUAAAAUUCUAAGUGAUAAAAAUGUAAAGCAAUCUUUGAAACCAAUUUACAGUCAUUACUGGGUUCUCUCUAAAGUAUAGAAACAUUUCCUCUGUAGUAAUAGUCCUGACAACCUUAUGACCUAUCCUUCUUCCCGUUUCGGACUGUUUCCCCAGAAUCCUUAUGUUCUAAUCCCCAUGGUGAUGGGAUUUGGAUGUGGGACCUUAAGGAGAUGAUCCCGUCACGAGGCGGAGCCUUGGUGAUUGGGGCUGGUGCCCUUACAAGAAGACCCAGGGAACUGAUGAUCUCUCUGCAGAGAAUAUGGCAAGAAGGCUAUUGGCAGGCCAGGAAGGGUCCUCACUAGGAACUGAUCCAGCCAGCACAUGGUCUUAGAUGUCCCAGUCUCCAGAACCAUGAGAAAAACUUUUGUGUUCCAGCCACCAAAGCUGUAGUAUUUUCUUUAGAGUGGCACAAACCGAGUGCACUGGUCAUGAGGGAUAGACUGGUCCUAAACUAACUGACCAGGUGCACUCAGUAAAAUAAGCCUUCAAGCCUCGUUUCUGACUUUAAUACAUAUAUCCUUAAGUUUGAGUGAAAACACAAGUAGGGGAGGGGUAGAGUGGGCGAGAGGGAAUCUCAACCAGGCUCUGUGCCGUCGGUGAUAGAGCCUUGAAGUGAGGCUCAAACUCCUGAAACUGAUAGGACCUGAGCAGAAAACGAGAGUCGGACACUUACUGACUGAGCCACCCAGGUGUCCCUGUCAAUUAAAACAGGAAGCAUUUUUUCUUGUACCUCUUCAGGCCACCUAAAUUCAUCAAUGUGCCACACAACUAAGUACUGAGGGUCCUUCAUUGUUUAACAUUUACUGAACUUCAUAUGAUUUGCUUCUACCCAAGUGCUUGGAGUGUUGGCCGCAGUACUAAACUUUGAAGGAACCCUGUGAGGGAGAUGACCUCCUGUCUUUUGACGCUCUUUUUCCUCAUGGUGAUGAGGUUUUGGGGUAAUGGUUGGGGGUUCAUGGUGUCCAGAGCUGACAGCCAAGUACGAAUUCUUAAAGACACUUCUGUUGGAAAUAGGUGAUCCCGUAAAGCAUGGGGACAGGACCCAAGGGCAGAACGAGCUGCCCUGGGGUUGUGAAGAGUGAUAAUAAACUUGGGAGUUGGGGAAGGUCAAGUCGCACGGAGAUUCCUAGAGGGACCUCGAUAGGCUAAAGAGGACUCCUAAGAUACCUGAGGCCUUGCUAUUGUCAAGCUUGAGGUGGUUUUUCCUCUUGGAAGGCAUCAACGUCAGGAUGGUGUGGGUUCUGGGAGAAACCUACUCUGUCCUGGUCUCAAGGACUUGUCUACGGGCUCCAGGUUAGGAAACUUAAUUUUACCUGCCGUUUUCUACUUGGUUCCUCACAUGACUGUGGAGAAAGGGGGGUGAUGUUGGGGCUCUAGGAAACUGAGUUGAUAGGCAAUCUUGUCAACAGCCUCAUCUCCAGAAACCUAUGUCUUUUAACUUAGGAAGAUUAUUCUUGGAUUAUGGUCAACUUGUCUAAAAUACAAGGUGUACGGUGUGCUCAUUAGGAAGAUCUUGAACUGAUGAAGAUUCCUGUCCUGCGUGACUGUGAUCUGUACCACUUAACCAUCUGUUUACUUUGUUCUUGGGUAGCUAGGAGAGCCCGAAGUGGGUCCUCUAUAUCCCACUAGGUGUGUGUGUGGGCGGGGGGGUGCUGUUAGCCUGUAGUUGACUCUCAGCUGGCCCCAGGCUGCCUCAUCAAUAGCACAGAGGAAAGAACUAACGUACGUUUGACCUGAGACCCCCUGAUAGUCCCUAUGCUACCCUUCCUUUUUUUUGGAGAGGUGUCCUCAUUUCAGCCAUUGGAACUGUCUCCUCUUAGACUUGGUACACGGGCUAUAGCUCUGGCCUGGAAGGGUGCGUCACACAGCCUGUUCGGGGAUCCUGUCACCCAGAAUCCUGUUGGGUGUAAUUUCGACCCUGCGUUCACCCCUUCAAAUACAGUACACCUCAUUCAGCAAAUACUUGCAGAUCCCAACUUGCCGAGUAGUUUACUAGCCUACAAACCUUGUAGAAACAACCCGAACAUUCUGGAAAAAACCCUAUCAUGCUUGCCUUUCUGUCCGCUCUUAGCGGAAGCGUUAAAAUGCUACAGCUUUGUAGGUGCGAAGGUGUUUCUCACACAGAAUUCUGUGCCACAGCCCAGGGGAAGCCACGGUCAGGAACCACUCUAGAACCACGUCCUACUUCGCUGGUCCAGGAUCAACCUUGUUACCUACCACUCUGACAGCCUGUCCUCCUUGGCUACCUCCAGAGUCAGCCCAGAGACCCGAUCCUAGCAAGUGGGGCCAGGGUGAGUCUGCUGGAAUGUUUUGCCCCAGCGCCCCAGAAAUGCUGUUUGUACCGCCAGCCUUGACGGCCGGGGCCUGCCUGUCCUUUCCCAGUUUGCAUUGCUAACCUUCACUGAAGAAGGCUUGUCCUGGCUCAUUUUUCACCAUUCCAAAGCAAAUGUCACUGGAAAGAAAAAAAGACUGGCCUACCGCUUGUCAAAAAUGCCUUGUAACCAUCUCUAGGCACUAGAGAGGGAGGAAACACGGUCAUUUUCAUACAAAUAGACCUAAGUUAAAGGUGUGUUGUCAAACGUCUGAGCCCUGAAGGGGUUGAGGUAAAACCAGGAGAGAAAAUCAACGAUUUUUCAUGGACCUCGGCUCAUUUGCAUUCUCCUAUUUCACUGAAACAAAGCAUUUGUUUAAAGGAAAACCUGCCAGGCUGGGUUUUUGUUUAAGGAAAAGUAGGCUUCUGAAGACAGAACUACUUAAUAUUACAGACGUUUAAAUUCGUACACUUAGAAGGGUAAAAGCAGGUAUAAAACAUCUUCAUUAAACCCGUUUUUCUGCAAAGGACUGAGCGUUGGCGUUUGGCUCCUUGGAAGCCUGGCGUCCGAUUCCCUGCCUCCUGUGGCCCUGAAGGCGUCAUGACCCCACGCUGCACGGUCUGCGGGUUGGGCUGCAAAUGGGAAUUGUUUGUGCGGAAAGCUGAGGGAAUGCAGCCGUAACUUGUCAACAGUUUCAGAUCUGCAAAGAGCAGGGAACCAGGACCGAUAAGAAGAGUCCCCCGCGUCAGAGGCUGUGGCUUGGAACUCACACUGGGGCGAGGAGGGGAGAAGGGGGAGGCGGCUGUUUUCUCUUCCAUUGUUUUUCCAACCAAGUGCAAGGUCUAAACAGGAUUCUGAGCCGAUGGGUGUGUUUAUGCAGACGCAGGAAACCAGGGGAACAAAGGAAAGGAGGUGGGAGUUUUAUCCCCACCCAAGUACAAAGCAAGAAUGGCUGAUGUUAAAAAGCCUCCAUAGCUUGCCCGUGAACUUAAGCAAGACACUUAGCCUGGUAGAAUGCCGUGGGUUUGGCAAGUACUGGCUGACCACACAUCCUUCUAUGCUCUGGCCCAUUGCCCUGCCAGCUGGUAGUUGAUGUGUCCACAUCUGCCUCCCAGGACCUAUAGCGAGCGCCUCAUGCCUGCUAAGGCACAUGGCCAAAACCAGAGACCUCAGCAGCCCUGAUGGAGAAUGUUCUAGCCCUGCAACCAUGUAAAACAGGCAGAGGGAGGACAUGGGUGCAAUGGUCUAUCCCAACGGUGCUUGUGCUUCUGCUAGGUAAUUGGUGUGGAAGUGGGAGGGUUGAGCCCAGCCGGUGGGGUUUCUGGCCUUGACCGCAGGCUUGGGGCAUGCUUCAUAAUGGCUUUAUCCGCAUCGCCAGCUCAGGGCACAGGAAACCUGAUGGCAAGAAGUCGGGGCUGCCCGUGCUGGGGGCACGUAAAAAUAGUUCUCCAGUGCCAGCUGCGGGGUCAGGCACUCGACUCAGUGCUUUGCAUACAUAAUCUUGAGUCCUUAAUUCAACCCCUCUGAGCUGUGUUAAAAGCAACAUUCCCCAAGAGGAAACCAACUUACAAAGGUUAAAUAACUUCUGCGCUGUGGCAGGGCAGAUAAACAGUGGAGACAGGAUUUGAGCCCGGAAGCUUCGUGGCAGUGCACAGAAGGCUCUCCCAGGCCUCUGCACAUCCAGGUAGAAAGAAGGGAAAUUGCAUCCGGAGGUGAUGGUUCACCCUGCAGGUCCCAGAUGGAGAUGCAUCCAGGCCUAGGUCCCAAAAGCCAGCUUGCAAAACCUCUAAGUGUUUGAUGGGUUAGCAUCUUCCCUUUAAUGGUGCUGUUGAGGGUUGGCUAAUCUGGGGUAAAAGCCCAGAACUCACAUGAAGAGGAGUGUCUUCGAAGAGAGAGAAAAGUAUAUGGCUAUUUCAUAGGCUUUUGGAGACGCCGGGGAAGGGGGAUUCUGCACCCCCCACCAGCACCUCUUCUUUUCUGGAAUGCAAAUGGUCCAGAUACUGAGAGGUGAGAAGACACCUGCCUGGAUGUCAAGUGCACAGGCCACACAAAAGGUAGAAUCUGGCCACGAUCUCGGAUCCCUCAGGAUGCUUCAGGAAAUAAACUGGUACCUAGAUGAGGGGACUGAACACCCUCCUCCCUUCCGUGUGAGCUCUUAAAUCUUGGGAGCCUUGCCAGGUGUGAUGACUAAGACAGGACUUAGUUGUCAUAAUCUUCCUAUCCACUGUCCUGUUGGGUCCCCAAACUGUCCCCCUCUACUGACAGAGUUGUUAGUGGAUUCUACACUUCGUAUUCUGUGCAUCUUGUUUAUCUCUUUAUUUGGCUUUAGAAACGAUGAUCCAGCACUUACCCUACCUGGUAACGUCACUAGAGGGUGAAUUCCUUUGAUGGGCCCACCCAGCUCUUCGGUGGGUUAGCUUCCUGUCCCAUGAAAAAGCAGUUCACAACCUAACUUCUGCCUAACCUCCCUCAAACCCCACUAAAUAGGGAAAUUGCAAAGCUUACGGUCCUGGGGCAGCAGUGAAUCUGCCAAGAGAGAGUCCUAGGCUUGUAGAGUGGUCUUCUGCCCUGCUCUCCGAUAAGUGUGCCUUUUAUUAGUCCUAGAGUAAGCACAGUGGGGGCAUAUAAUGAAGUGAAAAAUGAUUAGACUCCAAAAUAGCCUGUUUAUUGGUUAUUCAAAGAGUAUUUCACUACCAAGUCUCUUGAGUUGAACUCCUCUGGCUGCCCCGAAAGGCUGUUUGACAGUUCUUCAUAAUAAGUAUGGAAAAGAUAGGUUUAGUUACUGAACUUGGCUUUCUUCUCUAGCAUUUCUGGGGGGUCCCCAAAGCUGAGAAGCUGUCAAGGUCUCCUCACAUAUAAUUGAACUUGGCGCUUGUAGGUAAUCCUGUACACAAAACUCAGUAGACCACGAACACCUCAAGGGCAGGAAUUGUAUUUCUUGUAUGUUCAUGGAAAUGUUAACUGGUUAAAUAGAGAAAAGGUUUUCAUAGCAACUUCUAAGCCCAUGUCAUUCUUUGCCCCUUCCUGUUAGGUGCAAAAUGUGGAUUCAAGGCAAUUAAUAAGUUUCUACGCACAGAAAACCUGACCACACUUCUUGUAAAGGAGGAAGCAGGAUUGCAAGUCAUGAGGCUUGGACCCCAUCCCACCUAAUUCAUGCAGCUCUGCAGCGACUGCAGAUCAAACUGACCUUUCUCCGGGUCCCUAUUGUGCUUGGAGAUCGUAUCACCCAGUGGAGCACAUAAUUCGGCAAUAAGUUACUGUAUGUGCUAUGUUGCAUUUUUUGACGAGGCUGUAAAUGCCCGGAGCAGAUAGCAGCACUACCUGGUCGAUAAUGAGUAAAGUGACCAGUUCUUCCUGGUUUUCACACUGGAAGUCCCCUGUUACAGGAAACCCUUCCGUUCUCUGAAUCUGAAACCAGGACAAAGGACAGCUGGUCACUGCCAUAGUGGUUUGUUCCAUUGGCUACGUGGCUAAUUCUGAGCUUUCAUCAACUUGGAGGGUUUUAGGUAACCUGCCAUUCGUGGUGGAAACACAAACAUGUAAGCAACUACUUUAACAAUAUUUUGAGUGGGCUUUUUGUUGAAUAUAAACCUAUCUCUAGACCUGAUCUGCAGAUUUGGGUUGGCCCAUUCCUAGGCAUUCUUAGUUUCAGUGGAACCCAAGAAAUCAUGUGACCAAAGUUGAAUCAAACGGAGCCUGGCAAGAUGAGGGGAAUUGAACAAAAUCUCAAAACUGUAGAAAGAGGAUGACGACGAUCGCUGGAGCCAUAUUUGUCCCAGGACUGGGCUCAGCCACCCCCACUUCCUGGACCACAGUAUGGGCUUUGUGGCCACACCCAAGUAUCCUACCACAACUUCCUUUUUAUUGGGUUUUCUUUUGCAAUCAAAAUAGCCAUAUUUUGAGGUGGAGGGAAAUGCAGUAGUCUAUAUUUAUGUGCUGUUAAUGUGUAGUAGGUCCAACUUAACCCCAAAACGGUUCGUAGAAACUGCACCUUCUAUUCUGAAAGGAAAGGAAUUCUUGGCAGCUGCCAUUCCCCUCCAAUGAGCAAACGUCAUCCUCCCAAGAGGCCAUCUCUGUAUCUGAGUGUAGGGUGAGUGUACAGCUAGGUAAGUCCUGAAGAGCCCUCCUACCCAUAGUGCUGCCUGUAGGCCAGGAGAAAGGAGGUCUCGGUGCUAGAAUUCUUCAAAGUGAUGGGCGGCCUGCUUCGAUGACCAGGAUGCUUGUUAACCUUCCCGCACUAAGGCUGGGAUCCCAAAUCUGCAAGUGUAGAGUCCAGACACCUACGUUUCAGCAAGCACCCCUGUGCGACCUGUCCGCACGGUGAAUUUGGAGAAUCCCUGUGUGAGACUCAAGAAAAUCCUAGGCAGCAGGCCAGAGAUGGUAAUGACGUGGUGUCUCUCCCUACCUGAAUAUCCAUUCAACGAGAGUAAGAACUUGGCCUUGUUCAGUAACGUCUCCAGUGCCUAGAAUAGAAGCUGGUAACAAGUCAGUGAAAGAAAUAAUCUGCUGAAUAACUGAAUCCUAGAAGUCCCUAAACAGUGCCACAAAUCUGAACUUCCAGAAAUGUCCAUGUAAUCACUAAUGGUCUUAUAAUCUAAUAGCAAUACUAUAGAAUUGGAUUUUAUUUUCCUGCUCUUGAGCCUUUGGGCAGUUUAUUGAAGCAGGAAUUGGAAUUUCCAGUGGCCUUAUUCUAGCCAUUACUUCAGUAGACUUGAUAUUGUCAACACACUUGGACCUUUUUUGUCUUAGGAUGGAUUUUUUUUUAAGAGAAAAACUUGCUGGAGGAAUUGUUCAGAUUCUGGACUAUGGAUCCACCAUUUCUCAUAUCUACAGAAACCGCUGUCCACAAGACAGACUGUUGCAAAAGCGGCUUUCAGUGACAAAGUCCCCUGGGUGGUAUUUCUCAGCUUGGUGCAUGGGAGUCCUCUCCCUGGAUACCUGCAUCCCAGCCCCAGAGACUUUAGAUUAAGUCUCUGGGAUGUGAUGUGGGAAUCCAGAUCCUUCACUAGGUGAUGCUAACAUGCUACCCAACUAGGGAGCCCUCCUGCUGCUGGACUUGGCAUGGCUAAUGGUCUGAUAUAGCCUGCCUUCUAUCUUCAUCUGUGUUUGGGCUGCUUGAACAAAACUGCACAGAUUGCAUGCCUAGAAACAAGAGCUCCUUUCUCAUUUCUGAAGGCUGAGAAGUCCAACAUGGAGGGUGCUGGCAGAUGAAGGAUCUGAUGAGGGUCUCUUGGCUCAAAAAUGGGUAUUUUUGUCCCUGUGUCCUCACGUAGUUGGAAGGGUGUGGGAGGAAAUGCUCUUAAAAACGCAAUGGUCCUGUUUCGGAGGGCUCACCCUUCUCCCCUAAUCACCUCCCAAACACUCCACCUCCCAAACCAUGACCUUGGAUGACCUUUCGGCAUAAGGAUUUAGGGCUGAAACAGACAUGGAAUCCAUUGCUACUUAGCUCAUCCCGCACAUAACUUGUGCUACAUCAUUUCACACCCAUCUGGUUUCCAACAGCGUUGGAUGUUUUCACCCUCCAAAUACUCAACAUCCACAUACUGUUAAAUUGAAAUCGUGGCUUUAACUUGUAAACACAGGCAGGGUGUCUACUGAGGUGUGUGUGCUGGGAACAUGAAGUUUAACAAUCUCUCCAGCCUCGGCUCUGAUGAAUAUUGAAGAUCAGAGAAAAACAUACUUGGGUCCGGGGUUCUUUCAGGAAAAAAAAAGCGAGUCUGUUUGCUUUGCCAGGACAGGAUACCUGUCCUUGAACUUACCUGCUUCAGGCUUUGAUCAGCUUGCUAGAGCUACAUGGUGAUUUUUUUCUUCAUCGAUAAGAUGUGAACUUUUGAGCCCAUCUUUGGCUAGUAUCCAUGCCAUUGUUCACUUCAUGUAGGAGAAUCUGCAAACUAUUUUAACAGUUUCAUUAAGCAGCUUUAGUAAAAAUGAAAACUAAGUCAAAAUGACGAAUUUCAGGGAGCUGUUGCAGCGGGUGGCGUUGGUAGAAUGAAGCCUGUUGCUACACAGAAUACAAAUGACCCCCUGAUGAGCUGCAGGAUAAAGGAGAUUAAGGAAUUUGUUCUGGGACUGACAGCAGAUCUUGAUUUCUUCUUGACAAUUCGCUUCGUAGUUGUCCUCCUUCCCCUUCUUUCCUGACCUUGGUGAGGAUCUAGCAACUGCCUUGUGACCAGGACUAAAGACCACAGGGGUCAGUGGGCUCCCGGAAACACAUCUCUGAGCUGGAUCCCGGGGGGGGGGGGGGGGGCAGUGAGCAACCCUCUUAGUUUGCAGAGCAAGAAUAAUUGCUCAUGCUGCCAUCAGGAAAGCCCUGCUCUCUACUCCGGGGAAGGAAACCUUUCUUGAGUUACUUCCCAGGAUUCAGCAACUCCUGGGAAUCAUCUGGUGAGCUCUGGAAAACCCAUGCAAAUCUGUGUAACUCUCCAAGAUUUUACAUGGAAGCCCUAACCCCCAAUACAAUGCUUUCUGGAGGUGGGAUCUUGGGAGGCAAUUAGGGUUAAGUCCUGAGGGUGGGGACCUGAUGUUGGAAUAACCAUCAUAGAAGAAAAGAGGUCCAGCCUCUGCUCUGUCCCAAGAAAGGCAAUAUGUGUCUUCUCAGAUUUCCAGAAUGACCUACGGAUUUGUUUUUUAAACCACCUAGUCUACAGUGUUGUGUUGGUGUGUUAAUCAGCUAGGGAUACAAGUCUUCAGCAAACUUGGGGUUCUCUGCCCUGAAGGCUCUCAUGAUCAGUAACACAAACUUCUUCAUAGCUGAUUCUUAUCAGGCUUCACCUAGAAGCAUCAAGGCUGAGUUGAGGGGCUCCAAGUACAAUGCAAUCCAUAAAGUUGUCUCCAGAGGAAAGGGGAGAAAAACAAAGAAUACUGUGUUGUAUUGGUCCCACAACUUGCUCCUUCACUGUGGAGUUCUGAACCAGAGCAAAACUGCUUAGCACUCCAUGAAACAAGAUGGAAUUACAUACAGUGUUCAAAUUUUGACCUGGCAUUGACCUUAAUCUGUUGAGUUUAAUUUUGUAUCCUUGGGAGGAAGAGUUGUAUUUCCUUCUUUGGUAGUUAAGAACUAAGCCAGAAGUAGUAGUCAUGACUGACUUCCUGCAGACCACUGAUCACUUGGGUCCUGUGAACAAUUAAGUAGUGACCAGAACUCUGUCAUGGAGUUUGUUCAGAAGUAGUGACUUAAACAUUGGCUCUGAGAUAAUACUACGCUUAAAAUUAACUUUAAUAAAGUAAGCAUUAAAGAGAAAGUAACAUGAGUCAUCAAUUCAACCCCCUGGAGUUUUCAGAUUAGAAAAAGUUGUGAUCCCUACUUGGGGUUUUCAGCCCUAGAGCUCACACCCCAGUGUCUGAGAUUCUGACUGAGACCCGGGUUGGCCCCUGACAACCAGGACGCUGUUUCUGUUUGUGGGCAGUCUGAGUUGGAAAACGAUAUUUCGGGGGAGACCAUAGAGGGGUACAGGGAAGCCUGGGAAGCUGGUUCUCCCUGGAUUUGAAUAUUUCUUUAGCAACAGAGAAGUGGGGACACAAGUGAGGAGUCUUCCUAGAGAUGAUAGGAGGUGAUGAGUUGGCCAUUCACAGGUUCUUGAAAGAGGGCCUUGAUGGUCACGAAGGAACAAGAAAAAGCCCACCAGAAUUCAAAUCCCGAAUCUCGCCGUGUGGGCUCCACCCGAUUGUUACUGAUCUCUGGGCUUCUUUUCCUACCUUGAAAGGGGAAGAACCACUCUAUAGACCACACUAGGGGAUUAAAGAGAACAUAAGUGAAAAGGCUGGAAAAACUUAAAAUUGUAUCAAGAACCUCAAGGAAACCACUUGAAAAACCACAACAAAAUAGGUUUCUUACUAUUGUAUCUAAAUCACUGAAAACCAAAAAGAAAUUAACUCGGAUGCCCAUUCAGGAUAUACUUUCUUUGUACAUUUUAAAAAUACUGGACUGAUGUCAUCACUGUAUGCUGCUUUUGUUCAUGAACAUUGUCCUGGGCUAGUUCUUUUUUUUUUUCAACGUUUGUUUAUUUUUGGGACAGAGAGACAGAGCAUGAACGGGGGAGGGGCAGAGAGAGAGGGAGACACAGAAUCGGAAACAGGCUCCAGGCUCCGAGCCAUCAGCCCAGAGCCCGACGCGGGGCUCGAACUCCCGGACCGCGAGAUCAUGACCUGGCUGAAGUCGGACACUUAACCGACUGCGCCACCCAGGCGCCCCCGUCCUGGGCUAGUUCUUGUCAUCAAAUAUUCUUUGUGUAUAAUGUUUGAUCCUAUAACUGCAUCAUGAGAUAACCAGUUGCCCUUGCUGACGUGCCUGUCUCCUCCACCCUUUAGUAUAACACCCCUGUGAAUAUUCUUUGGCUAGGUCUCUGGUUGUUUCCUUAGCGAUGGAAAUGACAUGACAGUCCCAAAGAAUUUGAGAUCUUGAUCUUUGCGGUCAUCUUUAGGGGGGGAAAAAACAGGCAGAAUGGGCAUCUAGAUUCAAAUGUCCCACUCUGUACUGAUUGUGGCCAUUGGAGGUGAACUCAAUUGUAGGCGAAUCACAUUAACCCGUGUAGUGAAGGCUCAGGGAACGUGUCUUCCCUUUUUCCUCUGCCCACAUAAGGCUCUAACUAGAGAGGUAACACCUUCCUGAAGGGCCAAACACUAGUCCGUUUUUCAUUAUCUUACCUGGAUGAUUUUCUGGAGAAGGUGAACACCUCAGGCUCAAUCUUAAGGUGGAUGUCUUCAUUUUACUACGGUUUCCGAGGGCUCAAAGCACUGUAUCUCAGGGCAGCCCAAGCCCUGUAGUUGUCCUGUGGGAGUCGAAUAUUGAGGAAGAACUCCCAAAUUCUAAGAGCAUUAGAAACUAACAUGCCCACCUAGCUAUGUGUUAAAAAAGACCAAGGAAACCAGAACGUUCUGGUCACUUGCUGACCGUUUCCACCAGAAAUUGAGGUGCCAAACUUGAGCAGAUGACUUAGGAAGACUAGUGGAUGGACCACUGAGUGCUAGUGGUAGUUUGUCUUCUCUGCCUGCCUACUGAUACUGGGAGAGCUGGGAUAUACAUCUGUGUCCCUGCAGGGAGUGGCUGAGUGCCGGGACUAGUCAUGGCUAAAUUAAGUGUGUCGCCUAAAAGGUCAAAAGGAAGGGUCGAGGGGUAGAGAAUAGUCUUCAGCUACUUGGAAGAAAAGUGUAAAGGAGUUGAAAUCCAAGGUCGCCUGGAAUUUCUAUAUGCUGACGUCUUUGCCAAUCACUCAGGUUGUUUAUUUUACCCUGGAGAGAGGAAUUCUUGGGCGUCGAAUCAGUGCCCAUGCCUUUGUGACCGUGCCUUUCAGCAAGCCAUAUUGAAACAAACCAUAACAUACACUCAUCUGUUAAAUUCUAGAAAAAUUUCCCCAACUGAAAUUCUUCUGGUGAGUCACAGAACAAUUAGGUCUUUAAAGGCUCCUCCCCUGCUCCCUGGAACAAUUUGGUGGGUUUGUUACAAUAGAAGGGAAUCAUGAUUCAUGGCGUUUGAAAUGUGGAGGUGAAUUAUGACAGUUUAAGAAAUCUGACUUAAGUGGAACACAAUUCUGAAAACAGGCUUUUAAAAACACCUGUGUUCUUUGGGGGCCCUGUCUCAUGACAGGACUUACAUGUGUGUGAGCCUGAACCAGGAAACUGUGCUUACUGGGAGAUAAUCCCUCGCAGGGACGACUGCCUCGCCGGGUGCAGGAGAUUGGAGACAAUGCAGACGACCCCUACAUCCUGGGUUCAUUUUAGGUGGGGCCCACCAUCUCCAGGGGUAAGAUCCAGGUCUGUCCAGCCAGUGGCUGGAUAACCUCUGGAAGAAAAGCUGGGCCUAAAUGUUCCCCAGGAAGAGAGAGGGAAAGGCAUGUGUGUAGAUGUGACCAAUCACAGGUGAGCAAACCGGACUCUGCUCCCCACCUCCAUGUAGCAGGAUGGGGAUGCUCGCCUGUCAGGACUGAUGGUCAGCUGUCCUACAUUCCACCUGAUUCCACAGCAGCAAUUGUGUUUCCUUCUAGCACUAUCCCUAUCUGUGUGGCCUCGGUGAAUUAACCUUGUGGGAGUCUAGUUUGUUCUUCAAGACCAAGGGACUGAUGGCUAACGUUUGUUCUCUUCGGUUGGUCUCUGAGGAGUGUUUGUGUGUUGAUGAACAAUACAUCUACAUAAA